AACCCGCCCAUAGUCGAGCCCUGUCCUCACUAACCCUUCCAGAAGCUACCAACUCUAUCAGAACGAAAAUAACUCACUGACCCGUUAUCUCCUCUCUCUCUCCUGCAAUCUGUGUGAAGUUUUAAGGGGGAAAAAGAUGAGUAGCCGAUCGAGUCGCACUAUCUACGUCGGCAAUCUGCCUGGGGAUAUUCGGAUGAGAGAAAUUGAAGAUUUGUUCAUGAAGUACGGGCCCAUCGUCGACAUUGAUCUCAAAGUCCCGCCGAGACCACCGGGUUAUGCUUUUAUUGAGUUUGAAGAUGCUCGAGAUGCUGAUGAUGCAAUUUAUGGCCGGGACGGGUACAACUUUGAUGGGUAUCGUUUACGGGUUGAACUAGCGCAUGGUGGACGAGGACACUCAUCGUCAAUGGAUCGAUACAGCAGUUACAGUCAUAGUAGCAGUAGCCAUGGAGCUUCCCGGCGCUCUGACUAUCGUGUACUGGUAACUGGAUUGCCUCCUUCUGCUUCAUGGCAGGAUCUGAAGGACCACAUGCGUCGAGCUGGAGAUGUCUGUUUCUCCCAAGUGUUCCGUGAUCGGGGUGGCAUGACGGGAAUCGUAGACUACACAAACUAUGACGAUAUGAGAUAUGCUAUCCGGAAACUUGAUGACUCUGAAUUCAAAAAUGCUUUUUCUCGGGCUUACAUACGGGUGAAGGAAUAUGAUUCUAGACGUAGCUAUUCCAGAAGCCCUAGUUAUGACAUGAGACGGAGCUACUCUAGAAGCCCCAGUCGUAGUCCAUAUAUGUCGAGAAGUCAAAGCCGCAGUCGCAGCUAUAGCUAUGGUGGCCGAAUCAGAAGCAUAUCACCGGAGGCAAAAUAUUUGCACCGCUCUCCAUCAGCAUCUUAUCCAAGGUCUGUCUCACGUUCCCGUGCAAGGUUGGCUUCUUUCUUGCUAGAUCUGGAUUUUGCGGAGAUCUGGGGACUGGAUGUUAGGAACUUGAUGGGAUGUGGUGCUCAUGCCUGCAACUCUUAGUUGAGCUACCAAAAACCACAAAUCAGCGGUGCGGACACAUAAGGCUCAAAACUACUACAUUCACUAACUUGCGAUAAGGAUGAGUGGAUUUUCUCCUUUCAUCUAGGAUUAGAUGUUCGAUGCUGGUAUUUUAAUUUCUUACUACAUUGGUGGUUUUAUAUUUCUAAGAUCUGCCGGAAAGAUCAUGGGAUGCUGGGUGUAGAGCAUCUGGGCUAAAGGUUUAUAAUUUUUACUGUUUUCUUCCCGUCUAAUUAUGAUCUCGGACAAGAUCUAGGUCUCCAGUUUCUUCUGCUCGUCCCAGGACUCUGAGCAGAUCCAAGUCAAGAUCCAGAAGCUUAUCCUGGUCACUUUCACCUUCUGCAAGGUGAGAUCUAAACGAAGCCACGCCUUUGACCCCAGAGAUAGUGCUAUUAAGUACACAACUUUCUAGUGCUUUUUCUUUGGGGACACGAUAGGGAAAAUCAGUAACUUGAUCUAGUGUUCUAGACAUUUUGAUUAGGACCUUCAUUGGAUGGUCUAGUAUUGCAUCUAUGAAGUGGUUAGUUUGAAGAUAAUAUGAUGUAUUAAAUUAAACCAUUUUACUUUUUCGCUUUUGAAGUGAGAUAAGUGCAGCGCUUGCGGUUGAUGUUAUGUCUUGUAUUAAAUUAAACCAUAUUACUUUUGUGUCUCUGUUCUGAUCCUGCGUUUGUCUCCAUUCAAAACUUAACAGCAGUGAGUUAAGAAAUAAGAAGUUCGCUAGCCUGUAUUGAGUUCA